GACGAACGCUGGCGGCGUGCCUAAUACAUGCAAGUCGAGCGAAGUUUUUCUGGUGCUUGCACCGGAAAAACUUAGCGGCGAACGGGUGAGUAACACGUAAAGAACCUGCCUCAUAGACUGGGACAACUAUUGGAAACGAUAGCUAAUACCGGAUAACAGCAUUAACUGCAUGGUUGAUGUUUAAAAGUUGGUUUUGCUAACACUAUGAGAUGGCUUUGCGGUGCAUUAGCUAGUUGGUGGGGUAAAGGCCUACCAAGGCGACGAUGCAUAGCCGACCUGAGAGGGUGAUGGGCCAGACUGGGCCUGAGACACGGCACAGACGACUACGGGAGGCAGCAGUAGGGAAUCGUCCGAAAUGGGCGAAAGCCUGACGGAGCAACGCAGCGUGAGUGAAGAAGGAUUUCGGUUCGUAAAGCUCUGUUGUUAGGGAAGAAUGAUUGUGUAGUAACUAUACACAGUAGAGACGGGACGUAACCAGAAAGGCACGGCUAACUACGUG
rnacentral:rRNA from 1 species